rnacentral:rRNA from 1 species
CCUACGGGUGGCAGCAGUGGGGGAUAUUGCACAAUGGGGGAAACCCUGAUGCAGCGACGCCGCGUGGGUGAAGAAGCGCCUCGGCGCGUAAAGCCCUGUCAGCAGGGAAGAAAAUGACGGUACCUGAAGAAGAAGCCCCGGCUAACUACGUGCCAGCAGCCGCGGUAAUACGUAGGGGGCAAGCGUUAUCCGGAUUUACUGGGUGUAAAGGGGGCGCAGACGGCGAUGCAAGCCAGGAGUGAAAGCCCGGGUCCCAACCCCGGGACUGCUCUUGGAACUGCGUGGCUAGUGUGCAGGAGGGGCAGGCGGAAUUCCUGGUGUAGCGGUUACGAGCGUAGAAAUCAGGAGGAAAACCGGUGGCGAAGGAGGCCUGCUGGACUGCAACUGACGUUGAGGCCCGAAAGCGUGGGGAGCAAACAGGAUCAGAUACCCGGGUAGUC